ensembl:lncRNA
GCUUUCGCCAUCCACUCUUUCAUUGCCCUUCCAGGAAACACUGCUGGGUGCCUAAAGACCGGCGCGCUUCUUACACUUGGCAAGAGAAGAUAACAGUAAUGCUACAGCUUGGGCUUUGAAAGAUUAAAAGCAACAUUUAUUCCUUACAGUAUUUUCAAACUUCUUCAAGUUAAUUUGAAAUCCAUUUUAGAGAAUGUUUAACUAGUAAUACUGAUUUAUUUUUUUUUAAUUUCGAAUAUAAUGUACUUGUUAUUUAAACCAAGUAAGAGAUAGAUUAAAGUAAGCGCAGUUCUUCAAAGUGCAUUAAAUGCUUUGAGCAGUCCUUUCCCUGUGCUGGAAGAAAUACCCCGUGCUUCUGGGACUGGUCUCUUUAUGAUAUCUCUGUAAAAGCCCUGGCAAGAAAAGAUCGUGUUUUGAGAGCAAUUUCCAAUUUUUCAGAAACUUUUUGUACCCCUCCCCCUUUCGGUGGCUGACCAACCUCACUGCUAGCCAAGUAGAGCACAAGACUCUCCCUUCCCCAGUUUGUGGGGCUGCUGAUAAAUUAUUCAUACCGCUAAUGAGGAUUGAGAAUUUUCAGGCAUUUUUAAAGGCUUGCAUCACUUCGUCAACAUUUCUUUCACACCUGCAUGCUUCAGGCAGUCAGGUGUUUAAAAUUACCGACACAGAGCUCUGCCCUUCUCCCCCUGAAAGUGCUUUGCUCAACAGUGGAGUCCUGUGGCUAUUUUGUCUGUUUGUCUGCGUGAGGUUUUUUUCUGUGCUAAUUAGCGUGAGGGGAAAGGGGACUCUGAGAGGACUGUGUUAAUUACCAAAAGGGAUCAUGUAUCUCAGCUUAUAUUAAUUUUGAAAUGACAAGACACAGGUGCACAUUUAGUGGCAGUGAAUGAAUGUUAGCAUUUAAAGGCCUUUUUUUUUCUUUUUUUCCUUCUUUUUUUUUUUUUUUUUCCCCCUCCAAUGGAUGGAUCUUCCUUUAGAGGGAGUUAUCAGAAGGAACAAUCUCAAAGUAAGGAAGCCCCUGCUGAAGCUAAGAGCUACAUGAUAUGAAAGGACUGAUUAUGUUUAUAUUAUGUGGUCUCCUGUGAAAAAAUCAAGCCUCCCAGCUAGUAGAGAAAGGUCACUGGAUCUGAGGAAACAACUGACUCAGUGUCUUAAUUCUGAAGGAAAUGAGUCCUUUGUAGAUGAGAGGGAUUUUCUGAUCUAGUUCAGAGAAAGGCAUAGAACUAUGAAAAUAAGUUUUUUAUGUAGGGUUGGAGAAUAAAGAGGAGAAUCAGAAAGACUAGGAAUGGGAAGGUAAAAAAAGUCUCCCAUAUAGGUUUUUUUUUUUUUUUUUCUACAUUUAAAUAUUCCACGGGUGACUGGAAGUGCUGUAUUAAUCUCCGUGCCUCCGUGCAUCAUCCGUAGCACCCUUAAAAAAACUUGGUGGAACGAGAGUGUCUGAAGAGGACAUUUGAAGCAGCAAAACUUGUCUCAAGGAAUAAAGGCAUCAGCACAGGAAGAGGACAGAUGGUGCAUGUUCCUGAAACUGAACCACGGCUCCAUGUUCCCAAAGAAAGUGAAUCCCACAAGGUAGAUGUGGUUUUAAAUGAACUGGGGACACUGACAGUUGAGAAAAGAAGGAAUGCCUCAGGUGAGUGAUUGUCCUGUGGGGUGUCAGACCUGGCCAUCCUUGGUCAAGUUGGCCAUGGGAAAUCUCUCCCCAGGAGGGAUGAGUUGCAGUGGUAUGAAGAGGAGCUGGUGGAGGAGCUCUCUCAGGCUUCCCGCAUUUGCACAAACUGCUUCAUGGUUAUGUUAUGUGCUGAUGCUGUCUUUCUGUUCAUUUCGUUUAAAGGUAGCUUUUAAAAGAAGAGCCUGGAGCAGUUUUGUGCUCACAGGAUGCUCUCUGCUCCUUGCAAUCCUGAGGCCUCAAAACCCACUUCACUUGCCUGGGGGUGCUGAGAUGCUGUACGACUGGCUUUCCUGGGCUGCACUCCAGCUGCGCAGUGUCUUGUGUUAAACUAAUUUAUUCUCUCCAAAGAGAUUACUGGCAUUUAAAUGGUUAUUAAUUAAGGAGAAUUUGUGUUUUUCUCACCUGAUUUUUUUUACAUGCUUGGAAAUAGCAUUUAUUCACGCAAGUUUCUGCUGAAAAACGACUUAUUAAUUCACCUCAGCCUGUGGCCAGCAGUCUUUUGAAGCAAAAGUGCAAGGACUGGUGUAGGUAAGUUACAUGUGUUGCACAGGGAAGAUGUUUUCCUGGCUCACACUGGUAGAGGAUGAUAUUCUCUGAACUGUGAGAGUUCCUAAACCUUCCAGAAGACUUCUGCUUGAUUUUCAAGCUUUAUUAUGCAUGGACUGAGCCUUUCAUACUUAGGUUUACUGGAUGGUAGACUACCAUAGAAAUACUUCCUCCCAUAUGUACAAGGAAGCUGGACUCAAGUAUUGCUCACUUUGGAAAAAUGCCCCUGCAAGUUCCUGAAUUUCUUUGGCACGCAUAACAGAGUGGACAGAAGCAUCUCAAUCUUCACGUGUGGUGGUGUUGGGCCAGGUACAGCCUGCCUACAUGGAUCAUGUCUCCAGAGACACUGCUUACUGCUUUGGGUAAAGCAGUGGCAGUGGAGAAGAAGCAUUUACCUGAAUAUCUGCAAAAUGCAAGCAGAAGGAAAGCUGUGGUUCAAGGUGCUGAAGAAAUGCCAAAGGACAAGCUAAUGCUGCAUGUUGCUAGCCACCUGCUGCAGGAUACUUCACCCAUUUGGAGAACCGUGCAUAGAACACUACCACCUUCAGUCAGCAGGAUGUGUCUGAUACGAGAGCUGCUACCUGCCACCUGAUGUGUCUCACCCUGGGAGACAGGACGAUGAAGUAAUGGAGCCUGGCUGUCUGCAGCCAGGGCUGCUGUACUACAUCCAAAGCAAGCUUGAAGUCAGCAAGUGCUGCAUUAAUCUUUCUGGGAGUGUUUGUUUUGCUUGUUUUGUUAGGCUACAUUUCAAGCAACUGAUAAUGUGUUCGUGAGCAGUUCUCCUGUUGCAGCCCAUUUUUCAAAGGAAGUGUGAAGACCGAUGCUCCAAAGUAACAUUUCUACCCUGAAGUCAAAUCAUCUGCUUAGCAUCUUGCUCUGGAAGGACCCACAACUGCAGCUCUGGCACACAGAGAACAGGACGCCUAAAUGGGGAAUGCUGGUGCUCAUCCACUCCUGCUGCGUGAAUGAACACUGACUUAUCCUCCUAAUUUUCUUGAGAAAGGAUGGAGUCUUUUGUAUAUUACAUAGAAAGAAUAACAGAAGUUCUUUGGAAAAACAAAAUAUAUGCUCUGCGAUUUCUGAAGUGAGAGUACACAGAGUUCAGGUAUGCCAAUUCCAUUUGCAUGUUUCUUUGGAAUGCUGAAAUGAAUACAGCAAAUGAAUAGUAAUGUCAAGACACUGCAAAAACAAAAAGCACUGAAAGAGAAUUCUCGUGGACUGAUGAACUGAGAGCUGAAAUGGGAGCAGCAGAUUUUACAGUGUGAGUGAUGCUAAUUUUUCAGCCUAACAACCAACCAUGCACUGAAGCCCUGCUACUUCUGAGCUGACAUCAUCCAGAUGAGAAAGCUUCUUUCUAGUAACUUAUCAGCCUGGAAAACCAGCCCUGCAGGGUAACACCCAACCCAUGCUUUAAAUGUCAAGGAGAAAAACAUCUUUGUAUUGCCGAGCAGUCACAGCAGCUUCACUUCUGAUUUGAUAGCCUUGGAUGGAAGCAGGUACCAGCAUGAUGAUUCAGAAACCCUUGAAGAUAUAGUCAUAUUUUCAGCAACAGAUGGAUUUAACACUGCAGAUGGAGUGUUAAGAGUGCAGUUGUCUGUGGACUCUGAGAACAUAUUUAAAACCAGAAUUCUCUCUGGAACAUUGACUCUCGCUUGAUGGUAUGAUAGACUUCUACUUUAGAUCUGGAUUCAGAAGUAGUGGAUCACGCUUUAAUGUUGGUCUGCCCUCAUCAUUUGGAAGAGAAAAAACAAACAUUCCUGUGCCUCAGCUCAUCAGUGUCUGCAGCUGACUCAAUCAGCUGUAGAACUGAAGGGAAGGAAACAUAAAUUGAUGUGAAGAAAAUGUUCUCCCUGAAGCUGCACAAGCAGCAAUGAUUGUCAAAAGCUGAUCUUUAUCCCUUCAAAGACCUGCAGAUGGGGUCACUGAUCACAUCGUCUCAUUCAUUGGUUGGACUUCUAUAUACAACGUUUGGAAUAAAGCACACACUUUUUUAAAGCUGAACUUUGAAGCCGAUCCCUCUGUAACGCUUGGUGGAACUGUCUAGCUUAGUUUGUACACUGUCACAUGAACAGAUGCUGACAUGCACCUGUAGUUGGUCUCCACUGGGAACCAUAUCAUGUAAAAGUAGCUGGACAAUUUAUGAACUCACUUCAUGAUAAAAGAAUAGGUUUUUAUGUAAAGAGCCUUCAGUGAAAAGCAUGUGCUUUGUGUGUCUAGUUUUUUGGUGGUUUUUUUUCUUUCUUUUUUUUUUUUU